AAUGAACGCUGGCGGCAGGCCUAACACAUGCAAGUCGAGCGAACAGACAGGGAGCGUGCGCCCCUGAGGGUAGCGGGUGGCGGGCGAGUAAGACGUGCAUAACAAACCAAUAAGACUUGGAGAACUACGGGAAACCGCUGCUAAUACUACAGCAUAUAUUGAACGGAUGAGAUCAAGAGUGAUUGGCGGCUUGGGUGUUUCAAAGAGACGGAUUCGGGCCACAUUAGCUAGUUGGUAAGGUAACGGCAUACCAAGGCGACGAUGCGUAGCUGACCUGAGGGGGUGAUCGGCCACACUGGAACUGAGACACGGUCCAGACUCCUACGGGAGGCAGCAGUAGGGAAUCUUCCGCAAUGGGCGAAAGCCUGAUAGAGCAACACCGCGUGAGUGAUGAAGGACUUCGGGUGGUAAAGCUCUGUUGUUGGGAAAGAACAAAAGCAGGUUAAUCUCCGCACGUCUUGACGGUACCUAAAGAAUAAGCCCCGGCUAACUUCGUG
rnacentral:rRNA from 1 species